AUACGGAGGAUCCGAGCGUUAUCCGGAUUUAUUGGGUUUAAAGGGAGCGUAGGUGGACAGUUAAGUCAGUUGUGAAAGUUUGCGGCUCAACCGUAAAAUUGCAGUUGAUACUGGCUGGCUUGAGUACAGUAGAGGUGGGCGGACUUUAUGGGGGAGCGGUGAAAUGCUUAGAUAUCCCGAAGAACUCCGAUUGCGAAGGCAGCUCACUGGACUGCAACUGACACUGAUGCUCGAAAGUGUGGGUAUCAAACAGGAUUAGAUACCCUGGUAGUCCACACAGUAAACGAUGAAUACUCGCUGUUUGCGAUAUACAGUAAGCGGCCAAGCGAAAGCAUUAAGUAUUCCACCUGGGGAGUACGCCGGCAACGGUGAAACUCAAAGGAAUUGACGGGG
rnacentral:rRNA from 1 species